rnacentral:rRNA from 1 species
ACUCAAAUGAAUUGACGGGGACCCGCACAAGCGGUGGAGCGUGUGGUUUAAUUCGAUGGUACGCGAAGAACCUUACCAGGGCUUGACAUCCUCGGAACCCCACAGAAAUGUGGGGGUACCCGCAAGGGACCGAGAGACAGGUGAUGCAUGGCCGUCGUCAGCUCGUGUCGUGAGAUGUAGGGUUAAGUCCCUCAACGAGCGCAACCCUCGUCGCAAGUUAGAUUUGUCUUGUGAGACAGCCUCGGUAACGGGGAGGAAGGAGAGGAUGACGUCUGGUCCGCAUUUCCCUUAUGCUCUGGGCCACACACACGCUACAAUGGCCGGUACAAUGGGUCGCUACGCCGCGAGGCUUUAGCUAAUCCUAGUAAAAGCCGGUCUCAGUUCGGAUUGCAGGCUGAAACCCGCCUGCAUGAAGCUGGAAUCGCUAGUAACUGUGGGUCAGCACACCACAGUGAAUACGUUCCCGGGUCUUGUACACACCGCCCGU